AUUCGUAGGUCCGUCAUUCUGGUCAGCACUGCUAGGUGACGAUAACGAGGGGUGGUUGAGCGAUGAUCAUAUCUUUGGUUGGAUGAUCCACUUGUAUGAAUCGAGAGAUCGUAAUGCCCGUUGGAGUAUUUUACCACCAUAUUUCCAAAUGUAUUUUUAUGGAACGACUCUCCCUGAACAAACAUACAAGGGUUAUUACACCGGGGUCGUGGAACCUUUUCCAGCAAUUACUACAGUUGAUGAGGUGUAUGUACCUUUGCUUAUACCGCAAACACACUGGUUUCUGGGGGUUUUCAACCUGGUUAACCGUACUCUGACUGUUUACGA